rnacentral:rRNA from 1 species
UACGUAGGGUGCGAGCGUUGUCCGGAAUUAUUGGGCGUAAAGAGCUCGUAGGCGGUUUGUCGCGUCUGCUGUGAAAACGCGAGGCUCAACCUCGCGCCUGCAGUGGGUACGGGCAGACUAGAGUGCGGUAGGGGAGAUUGGAAUUCCUGGUGUAGCGGUGGAAUGCGCAGAUAUCAGGAGGAACACCGGUGGCGAAGGCGGGUCUCUGGGCCGAUAUUGACGCUGAGGAGCGAAAGCGUGGGGAGCGAACAGG